GACGAACGCUGGCGGCGUGCUUAACACAUGCAAGUCGAACGGAAAGGCCCUGCUUUUGUGGGGUGCUCGAGUGGCGAACGGGUGAGUAACACGUGAGUAACCUGCCCUUGACUUUGGGAUAACUUCAGGAAACUGGGGCUAAUACCGGAUAGGAGCUCCUGCUGCAUGGUGGGGGUUGGAAAGUUUCGGCGGUUGGGGAUGGACUCGCGGCUUAUCAGCUUGUUGGUGGGGUAGUGGCUUACCAAGGCUUUGACGGGUAGCCGGCCUGAGAGGGUGACCGGCCACAAUGGGACUGAGAUACGGACCAGACUCCUACGGGAGGCAGCAGUGGGGAAUAUUGCACAAUGGGCGGAAGCCUGAUGCAGCAACGCCGCGUGCGGGAUGACGGCCUUCGGGUUGUAAACCGCUUUCGCCUGUGACGAAGCGUGAGUGACGGUAAUGGGUAAAGAAGCACCGGCUAACUACGUG
rnacentral:rRNA from 1 species